rnacentral:tRNA from 1 species
GGGCGUAUAGCUCAGCGGGAGAGCGCCUCGUUGACAUCGAGGAGGUCACAAGUUCGAUCCUUGUUACGCCCACCA